UACACUCCUGCGGGAGGCAGCAGUGGGGAAUAUUGCCCAAUGGGCGCAAGCCUGAUGCAGCCAUGCCGCGUGUAUGAAGAAGGCCUUCGGGUUGUAAAGUACUUUCAGCGGGGAGGAAGGCGAUAAGGUUAAUAACCUUGUUGAUUGACGUUACCCGCAGAAGAAGCACCGGCUAACUCCGUGCCAGCAGCCGCGGUAAUACGGAGGGUGCAAGCGUUAAUCGGAAUUACUGGGCGUAAAGCGCACGCAGGCGGUCUGUCAAGUCGGAUGUGAAAUCCCCGGGCUCAACCUGGGAACUGCAUUCGAAACUGGCAGGCUAGAGUCUUGUAGAGGGGGGUAGAAUUCCAGGUGUAGCGGUGAAAUGCGUAGAGAUCUGGAGGAAUACCGGUGGCGAAGGCGGCCCCCUGGACAAAGACUGACGCUCAGGUGCGAAAGCGUGGGGAGCAAACAGGAUUAGAAACCCCUGUAGUCCCAUGA
rnacentral:rRNA from 1 species